AGAGCGAACGCUGGCGGCAUGCUUAACACAUGCAAGUCGCACGGGCAGGGCAACCUGUCAGUGGCGGACGGGUGAGUAACGCGUAGGAAUCUAUCCACGGGUGGGGGAUAACGCCGGGAAACUGGUGCUAAUACCGCAUGAUACCUGAGGGUCAAAGGCGCAAGUCGCCUGUGGAGGAGCCUGCGUCCGAUUAGCUAGUUGGUGGGGUAACUGCCUACCAAGGCGACGAUCGGUAGCUGGUCUGAGAGGAUGAUCAGCCACAUUGGGACUGAGACACGGCCCAAACUCCUACGGGAGGCAGCAGUGGGGAAUAUUGGACAAUGGGCGAAAGCCUGAUCCAGCAAUGCCGCGUGGGUGAAGAAGGUCUUCGGAUUGUAAAGCCCUUUCGGCGGGGACGAUGAUGACGGUACCCGCAGAAGAAGCCCCGGCUAACUUCGUGCCAGCAGCCGCGGUAAUACGAAGGGGGCUAGUGUUGCUCGGAUUGGCUGGGCGUAAAGGGCGCGUAGGCGGCUUGUACAGUCAGACGUGAAAUUCCUGGGCUCAACCUGGGGGCUGCGUUUGAUACGUAUGGGCUUGAGUUCGGAAGAGGGUCGUGGAAUUCCCAGUGUAGAGGUGAAAUUCGUAGAUAUUGGGAAGAACACCGGUGGCGAAGGCGGCGACCUGGUCCGAUACUGACGCUGAGGCGCGAAAGCGUGGGGAGCAAACAGGAUUAGAUACCCUGGUAGUCCACGCCGUAAACGAUGUGCGCUGGAUGUUGGGUGACAUAGUCAUUCAGUGUCGUAGCUAACGCGAUAAGCGCACCGCCUGGGGAGUACGGCCGCAAGGUUGAA
rnacentral:rRNA from 1 species